AGCAUCUGCACGGGAAUCGAACCCAGCCGCCCGCGUGGCAGGCGAGCAAUUCUACCAUUGAACCACCGAUGC